AUUGAGAUGUCCGAGUUGGUCUAAAGCGCCAGAUUAAGGUUCUGGUCCGAAAGGACGCAUGGGUUCAAAUCCUACUUUCAACA
rfam:Zostera marina strain Finnish scaffold_130, whole genome shotgun sequence.